UAUUUUUGUAGUGUAUAUUGCACGAAAAGUUUUCAAUUUUUAAGAGUAAUAUUAGUUUAUUAUCAAAAAUAU
rnacentral:tRNA from 1 species